GGGUUGUGAGGUUAAGCGACUAAGCGUACACGGUGGAUGCCCUGGCAGUCAGAGGCGAUGAAGGACGUGCUAAUCUGCGAUAAGCGUCGGUAAGGUGAUAUGAACCGUUAUAACCGGCGAUUUCCGAAUGGGGAAACCCAGUGUGUUUCGACACACUAUCAUUAACUGAAUCCAUAGGUUAAUGAGGCGAACCGGGGGAACUGAAACAUCUAAGUACCCCGAGGAAAAGAAAUCAACCGAGAUUCCCCCAGUAGCGGCGAGCGAACGGGGAGGAGCCCAGAGCCUGAAUCAGUGUGUGUGUUAGUGGAAGCGUCUGGAAAGGCGCGCGAUACAGGGUGACAGCCCCGUACACAAAAAUGCACAUACUGUGAGCUCGAUGAGUAGGGCGGGACACGUGGUAUCCUGUCUGAAUAUGGGGGACCAUCCUCCAAGGCUAAAUACUCCUGACUGACCGAUAGUGAACCAGUACCGUGAGGGAAAGGCGAAAAGAACCCCGGCGAGGGGAGUGAAAAAGAACCUGAAACCGUGUACGUACAAGCAGUGGGAGCCUCUUUUAUGGGGUGACUGCGUACCUUUUGUAUAAUGGGUCAGCGACUUAUAUUCUGUAGCAAGGUUAACCGAAUAGGGGAGCCGAAGGGAAACCGAGUCUUAACUGGGCGUUAAGUUGCAGGGUAUAGACCCGAAACCCGGUGAUCUAGCCAUGGGCAGGUUGAAGGUUGGGUAACACUAACUGGAGGACCGAACCGACUAAUGUUGAAAAAUUAGCGGAUGACUUGUGGCUGGGGGUGAAAGGCCAAUCAAACCGGGAGAUAGCUGGUUCUCCCCGAAAGCUAUUUAGGUAGCGCCUCGUGAAUUCAUCUCCGGGGGUAGAGCACUGUUUCGGCAAGGGGGUCAUCCCGACUUACCAACCCGAUGCAAACUGCGAAUACCGGAGAAUGUUAUCACGGGAGACACACGGCGGGUGCUAACGUCCGUCGUGAAGAGGGAAACAACCCAGACCGCCAGCUAAGGUCCCAAAGUCAUGGUUAAGUGGGAAACGAUGUGGGAAGGCCCAGACAGCCAGGAUGUUGGCUUAGAAGCAGCCAUCAUUUAAAGAAAGCGUAAUAGCUCACUGGUCGAGUCGGCCUGCGCGGAAGAUGUAACGGGGCUAAACCAUGCACCGAAGCUGCGGCAGCGACGCUUAUGCGUUGUUGGGUAGGGGAGCGUUCUGUAAGCCUGUGAAGGUGUACUGUGAGGUAUGCUGGAGGUAUCAGAAGUGCGAAUGCUGACAUAAGUAACGAUAAAGCGGGUGAAAAGCCCGCUCGCCGGAAGACCAAGGGUUCCUGUCCAACGUUAAUCGGGGCAGGGUGAGUCGACCCCUAAGGCGAGGCCGAAAGGCGUAGUCGAUGGGAAACAGGUUAAUAUUCCUGUACUUGGUGUUACUGCGAAGGGGGACGGAGAAGGCUAUGUUGGCCGGGCGACGGUUGUCCCGGUUUAAGCGUGUAGGCUGGUUUUCCAGGCAAAUCCGGAAAAUCAAGGCUGAGGCGUGAUGACGAGGCACUACGGUGCUGAAGCAACAAAUGCCCUGCUUCCAGGAAAAGCCUCUAAGCAUCAGGUAACAUCAAAUCGUACCCCAAACCGACACAGGUGGUCAGGUAGAGAAUACCAAGGCGCUUGAGAGAACUCGGGUGAAGGAACUAGGCAAAAUGGUGCCGUAACUUCGGGAGAAGGCACGCUGAUAUGUAGGUGAAGCGACUUGCUCGUGGAGCUGAAAUCAGUCGAAGAUACCAGCUGGCUGCAACUGUUUAUUAAAAACACAGCACUGUGCAAACACGAAAGUGGACGUAUACGGUGUGACGCCUGCCCGGUGCCGGAAGGUUAAUUGAUGGGGUUAGCGGUAACGCGAAGCUCUUGAUCGAAGCCCCGGUAAACGGCGGCCGUAACUAUAACGGUCCUAAGGUAGCGAAAUUCCUUGUCGGGUAAGUUCCGACCUGCACGAAUGGCGUAAUGAUGGCCAGGCUGUCUCCACCCGAGACUCAGUGAAAUUGAACUCGCUGUGAAGAUGCAGUGUACCCGCGGCAAGACGGAAAGACCCCGUGAACCUUUACUAUAGCUUGACACUGAACAUUGAGCCUUGAUGUGUAGGAUAGGUGGGAGGCUUUGAAGUGUGGACGCCAGUCUGCAUGGAGCCGGCCUUGAAAUACCACCCUUUAAUGUUUGAUGUUCUAACGUUGGCCCCUGAUCGGGGUUGCGGACAGUGUCUGGUGGGUAGUUUGACUGGGGCGGUCUCCUCCUAAAGAGUAACGGAGGAGCACGAAGGUUGGCUAAUCCUGGUCGGACAUCAGGAGGUUAGUGCAAUGGCAUAAGCCAGCUUGACUGCGAGCGUGACGGCGCGAGCAGGUGCGAAAGCAGGUCAUAGUGAUCCGGUGGUUCUGAAUGGAAGGGCCAUCGCUCAACGGAUAAAAGGUACUCCGGGGAUAACAGGCUGAUACCGCCCAAGAGUUCAUAUCGACGGCGGUGUUUGGCACCUCGAUGUCGGCUCAUCACAUCCUGGGGCUGAAGUAGGUCCCAAGGGUAUGGCUGUUCGCCAUUUAAAGUGGUACGCGAGCUGGGUUUAGAACGUCGUGAGACAGUUCGGUCCCUAUCUGCCGUGGGCGCUGGAGAACUGAGGGGGGCUGCUCCUAGUACGAGAGGACCGGAGUGGACGCAUCACUGGUGUUCGGGUUGUCAUGCCAAUGGCACUGCCCGGUAGCUAAAUGCGGAAGAGAUAAGUGCUGAAAGCAUCUAAGCACGAAACUUGCCCCGAGAUGAGUUCUCCCUGAGACUUUAAGUCUCCUGAAGGAACGUUGAAGACGACGACGUUGAUAGGCCGGGUGUGUAAGCGCAGCGAUGCGUUGAGCUAACCGGUACUAAUGAACCGUGAGGCUUAACCUUACAACGCCGAAGGUGUUU
rnacentral:rRNA from 1 species